GGAAACUCUACCAUUUUUAGAACUCAAUCAAAAAUCAAAGCGAAACUUGUGUUUUUCUUUGGUUUAGGUUGUGAUUCAUCCAUUUCUAAUCAUAAAAACCAUAAGGAUUCAUUGAAAAGUCUAGAAACACGUUUACCCUAAUCUCAAAGUCGGAUUCUUGGAUCAAAAACUCAACUUUUGGGUUUCUUUAUCCAUUCUUACAUAAACUUUGGGAAAUCUUCAAAAAGGUAGUUCCUAAGGGCCUUUAACCCUUUUCUCCACCUCUUUUUUCAUUUUAUUUUGGUGUUAAAUCACCAUUCUUAUGCCUGGUUGUGAGGGAAACCCGGGAUCAACCAAAAGAGGGAGUCUAUGUUAAAGUAGCGCACUGAGAACUACAGUGGUGGAAGCCACUAGUGUGGCGUGCACCACAAGCUUAUGGCUCGAGCCACUUCCCCAUAGACUCACCCCCCUUUAAGCUCUGUUUUAAUCUGUGACCUUCUUGAUCAGGGAAAAGCUUGGCCCCAUUACAUGUGGCGCACGACACUUUGCCUAUGGCGUCAGUGGCAAAGCUCCAUACUUUAAGCUCAAAUAAAUAAUAAUAAUAAAACUGACCCGAUUUGGGUAUCUAGUGGCAAAGCUCUAGACUUUAUUGGUCUGGGAUGUGUUUUUGCCACGGAUGGAUUUAAUUAACACCAAUAAACAAGGUUUUAGUAGAGAUGGAUGGAUUUGUUCAUCAUUCAUGAUAAGCAUCAAGAUCUUGAACUCUAAUCUUGUUUUAAUCUUUAAAUUUGUUGCUUUAAUUUAAUGGCAUUUACUUUUCCGCACUUUAAAUAUUCUGUCCUUUAAAUUUAUGCCCUUUUAUUCAUUGUAUUAUGAUUAUUAUUGCACUAACCCAUUAUAUAUUAACCUUGGAAUAUAAACAUGCAUCAUUUUAAUCAUUAGUUGAAUGAAUGAAUGUCUUAUGAUUCUGUGUAUGGGAUUGUGUUUCUGUGAAUGUCAUGUUGUAUUAUGUUUUAUGGAUGAUUCUUUAUUGCUUUGGUUUUAUUUUGUCUUGGCUAAAUGUAAAGGGUCCUAAAUGGAUUCCUAAUAAUUGCUAUUAAUUGGGAUUUGGGAAAUUUUGAGAGGGUCAAGAGUAGACUGUAUUCUAGGAGAUUGGUUGUAUUCUUUUCUCCUCCCCGCUUUCUUGUGGAUGCCUUAUUUUAUGUUUUUGUGUGCUUGACCAAUUUGCAUGAUUGACAUAAUUUUUAAAAAUUACAAUAA
rnacentral:lncRNA from 1 species